UACGGAGGGUGCAAGCGUUGCUCGGAAUUAUUGGGCGUAAAGGGGAGGUAGGUGGUCUCAUUUGUCUGGGGUGAAAGCCUCGAGCUUAACUCGAGAAGUGCCCUAGAAACGGUGAGACUGGAGUCCUGGAGAGGCUAGUGGAAUUCCCGGUGUAGCGGUGAAAUGCGUAGAGAUCGGGAGGAACACCAGAGGCGAAGGCGGCUAGCUGGACAGGUACUGACACUCAACUCCGAGAGCGUGGGGAGCAAACAGG
rnacentral:rRNA from 1 species